AUCCAGCUGACAAGUCUCAAAUAGGACGAAAUGCACGUUCUGGAU
rnacentral:hammerhead_ribozyme from 1 species